CGCGUAGGCGGGGAGGUAAGUCGGGUGUGAAAUCCCUCGGCCCAACCGAGGAACUGCGCCCGAGACUGCUUCUCUUGAGUCCCGGAGAGGAAGAUGGAAUUCCCGGUGUAGCGGUGAAAUGCGUAGAGAUCGGGAGGAACACCGGUGGCGAAGGCGGUCUUCUGGACGGUGACUGACGCUGAGGCGCGAAAGCGUGGGGAGCAAACGG
rnacentral:rRNA from 1 species